rnacentral:rRNA from 1 species
GUCUAUGGCCAUGCUACCCUGAACAAGCCCGAUCCCAUCUGAUCUCGGAAGCUAGGCAGGGUCGAGCCUGGUUAGUACUUGGUUGGGAGACCGCCUAGGAAGACCAGGUGCUGUAGGCA